UGAAGAUUCUGGAAACAGCUCUGCCGCGAGUU
rnacentral:piRNA from 1 species